GUAGUAAAUGUAUAUAGGGCUUGAGGCCUCUGUUCACGAGGUACUUACAUUCAUAAGUAGUUCCACUGACUUCAGUGGGAAUUCUCAUGUGCUUAAAGUUAGGCAUGAGCUUAAGAACCUUGCUGAGCCCUGUGUCUUACAGAACCCGGGAAAGUCAGGGAGCCUGGUUCUUCACUCUUUUACGGUGCUGUGAAUGGAGAAUCAGGACCCAGUGUCCGAAGAACUUGGACCUGCUCCUGCGUUCCUUACACUCGAAUGCCCACAAAUCACUGGGAGCGUUGGGUGUGUGAGGAAUCAGUCACCAGGAGAUUAAUGUCGAUUCCGGGAGACUCCAGGCCAAUCCGGGAGGGUUGACAACCCUAAGUUGUGGGCGUACGGCUUGUUGCAGGAUCAACCCAUUUUCGUGAGAAGGCUGCUGAGAUGCUAACGUGCUCAAGAAAGUGGGGUGCUGAAGAGAAACUUGUGGACUGGCCUCUCUGGACAGGUCUUCAGAAGCACUGAAGGACUCGCUGCUGAAGUGUCGCCCAACACCCAGAGUAAGCAAAGGACCCGCCGCUGAAGUGCCAUCGAAGACCCAGAGAGAGUGAAGGACCCG